UCCUCGAUGGUCUAACGGUUCAUGAUUUCCGCUUGUCACCGUAAGGAACAAGCGCGGGAGACCUGGGUUCGACUCCCAGUCGGGGAG
rfam:Aspergillus terreus NIH2624 scaffold_15 genomic scaffold, whole genome shotgun sequence.